AUUGAACGCUGGCGGCAGGCUUAACACAUGCACGUCGAACGAGUGGCGGACGGGUGAGUAAUGCUUGGGAAUCUAGCUUAUGGAGGGGGAUAACUACUGGAAAAGGUAGCUAAUACCGCAUACCAUCAGAUGUGCCACGAUGGGAUUAGCUAGUAGGUGGGGUAAGGGCUCACCUAGGCGACGAUCUCUAGCUGGUCUGAGAGGAGGACCAGCCACACUGGGAAUGAGACACGGCCCAGACUCCUACGGGAGUCAGCAGUGGGGAAUAUUGCGCAAUGGGGGCAACCCUGACGCAGCCAUGCCGCGUGAAUUAAGAAGGCCUUCGGGUUGUAAAGUUCUUUCGGUAGCGAGGCGUUAACUACAGAAGAAGCACCGGCUAACUCCGUGCCAGCCGCCGCGGUAAUAC
rnacentral:rRNA from 1 species